UCUGUUGUUAGGGAAGAACAAGUGCUAGUUGAAUAAGCUGGCACCUUGACGGUACCUAACCAGAAAGCCACGGCUAACUACGUGCCAGCAGCCGCGGUAAUACGUAGGUGGCAAGCGUUAUCCGGAAUUAUUGGGCGUAAAGCGCGCGCAGGUGGUUUCUUAAGUCUGAUGUGAAAGCCCACGGCUCAACCGUGGAGGGUCAUUGGAAACUGGGAGACUUGAGUGCAGAAGAGGAAAGUGGAAUUCCAUGUGUAGCGGUGAAAUGCGUAGAGAUAUGGAGGAACACCAGUGGCGAAGGCGACU
rnacentral:rRNA from 1 species